CAUCCCUGCCCAACCACGCACCACCGGGAGCCCCGCCCCUCUCCUCACCUUCUUUUGUGGAUAUCCGACAUGGGAUCCAGCGGGCUACCCUGGCCUCUUCCUCUCCGACAUCCGCUGACAUCCGCGGGCCAGUACCACACCAGCGAGAAGCUCAGCCAGAUCCUCCUCUGGCUCCGUCGCCGUGCCUCCGUCGUCAGAUCGGGAGCUCAGCCACCCCGCGCCAUCAACACUAUACUGCCUCCUCCCGCGCGUGCAGUGCACAUCCUGCCACGCAGCAGUCAACGACGGUGGAAACUGCUGCAGUGCAGAGUGUGUUUUUGGUGCACCCUGACGACGACCCAUCCUCCCCGACCUCUCCCAUGUCUCUUCGAUGGUGAGGUCAAGAUGCUCUCCCGGCGUGGUGGCCGCCACGGCUUCCCCUCCUUCUGAUCCGGCUGCCAAGGCCUCCGCCAUCUAUUCCGCUACUUCUCGCAGCUGUGGCUGACGAGGAGGACGGUGCCUGUGGUGGAAUGCUCCUCCUUAUCCCCCCAAUGGCCUGUAACGAGCUCCCUCCUCCAACUGUUGCAGUUCCUUUGAUUUUUUGUUGAAGCUCACUGAAUUUUGUUUUGUAGUGCACUGUUGAAAUGAAAAAAAUUGUACGUACAAGUUUCCUGGCGCGGCGUCGGGCAGUUUGGUAGGGAGCGGCGUGCAGUUUGCUUGCAUGGACGGGAGCUUCCUGAUCCUGCUCCGACCCAUCUUCUUCCCCCUAGUGCACUGCAGUUGUUCAUCAUUUUCAUCUCGUGGUGUGCCGUUUGCAAAGAUCGUGGCCGUGCAGCUCGUCUUCAGUGUUUUGCGGUUCUGUGCAUGGGGCGGCGCGGUUCUUUUUUUGGCAUGCAAAAUUGCAAAAAUUGUAGUGUGGUUGGGCGCCCUGCCGAGGUGCAGUUUGUCCACGGGUGCUUGUUUUGGUGUUUCAAGGAAAAAGUAUGGAUGAUUCGUUUGCUGUUCUGUUAAAACACGCCGAAACUUUGUUGGCGUAGCUUCAAAAAAGAGAGCAUCAAAAGUAUAACGAA